rnacentral:pre_miRNA from 1 species
GUAGUGAGAACCCGUCUCUUAACUUUUAACUAAAAAAGUUAAGAACCGGUUCUUAAAACUCUUAUUUAAGAACCGGUUCUUAGUUUUUUUAGUUAAAAGUUAAGAGACGGGUUCUUAUAUUCC